CUGAUGUUGUUGUCAGCUAACCAGCAUAAACUAUAUGGGAAGGGUUUAUCAGAACGACUUGACUGAACCGAAUACAUUAGUCUCCACACUCGACUCAGAUGCGCGACAUACGUCAUCCCUUUGGGCACCAGGCGUGUCCAUGUAGCCUCUCCCACGUCAGAAUCGACACGGAUUCGAGGAUGCUGCCAUAGUGGCGGGGCCGGAGGCUGCAGCGGUGAGUCUGGCCAGGGCUAGACACUCAGGUGGGACGAUGGCGGCGGCUGGGCACGAGGAAGAGCAGGCUCUUAUAGCGGACUGUCGCAUUUCAAACGUGAUCAACUGGAAUAAACCUUUUAGGACCACGACACUCUUUGCUGCCACCACUGCUGUGUACUGGUUUGUGGCCCUCAGUUCCUAUAGAGCGUACUGUCUUCUUGCCCUUUCCUUGGUUCUGAUGGUGACAGUGCUGCUUGUUAAAGAUGUGGCUCUCUCCAGAUGUGUCUCUUUCUCUAAAGAGAGAGUUUGUUUGAUUCUGUGUUACAGGAACUGAUCCUAAGACAGCAGUUACUUUGAACCCUACAAGCAGCCAGUCAGGUCAGAAGACUAGCAGGGGGUGUGCUUCUGAAGGAAACCUGUCAUUGGACCAAAAAUACUAGUCAUGAGUGUUUCGUCACAGUCAAAUGAUUUGCAUAAGUAAUUUGGAUAAAAAAAUCUAUAAUAAAUGGUUGAUGUUCUAAAAGUGGAUGAAACUAUACAUUUUUUCUGUUACCAUGUUUGUCUAAUAUGUUUUAUUUCAUAGUUAAAACAUGGUGAAAUGUAGCAUAAAUUGUGGCAUAAAUACAAUACAACACAAUCAGG
rnacentral:lncRNA from 1 species